rnacentral:snoRNA from 1 species
AUGUUCUUUCAUAUAAGCACUGUGUCAAAACUGCAGACACCAGGAUCUGGUCUUGGUUUUUGUAACAAUGUUAGCAGAGUACAUGCAAGAAGAAAAGUAACUGCACUAGACUGUAAAGACUUGGGUGGGCUUCUCUCUUAACGUCCAGUGUCCUUUGUCUUAAGAUUUGAUGCAAUGUGU